AUGAAUAUGGGACCUUUUGUGAUCAUUUAUAACCCAAACAUUGCCAGCUUAGGUCUGCAUCAUGUAACAAAUUGUAGCAAAUUAGCCAAGCCAAAACUGCUCUCAAACCAGAUGUUGCACACUGAAGUUAGCUUAUCCUGCUAUUUAAUAUUGAGUGCCAAUGCUCAAAAAAUAAGCCAAAUAAACAAUUUAUUACAUGCAGCAUUAAUCAAUCAAGUUCCUGUUCUGCCAUAUUUUGUUGAAGUAUUGUUGCUUUUCUGCUUUCACCAGAAUCCACCACAUGAGCAUUCUCCAUCUUUGAAAUGA
rnacentral:rRNA from 1 species